rnacentral:rRNA from 1 species
UGGGGAAUUUUGGACAAUGGGGGAAACCCUGAUCCAGCAAUGCCGCGUGUGUGAAGAAGGCCUUCGGGUUGUAAAGCACUUUUGUCCGGAAAGAAAUCCUGCGUGCUAAUACCGGGGGGGGAUGACGGUACCGGAAGAAUAAGCACCGGCUAACUACGUGCCAGCAGCCGCGGUAAUACGUAGGGUGCGAGCGUUAAUCGGAAUUACUGGGCGUAAAGCGUGCGCAGGCGGUUCGCUAAGACCGAUGUGAAAUCCCCGGGCUUAACCUGGGAACUGCAUUGGUGACUGGCGGGCUAGAGUAUGGCAGAGGGGGGUAGAAUUCCACGUGUAGCAGUGAAAUGCGUAGAGAUGUGGAGGAAUACCGAUGGCGAAGGCAGCCCCCUGGGCCAAUACUGACGCUCAUGCACGAAAGCGUGGGGAGCAAACAGGAUUAGAUACCCGCGUAGUCC